AACACCUGAUGUCGUGGUUCACUUGCGGCGUUGUUCUGUUCCAGUUAUCUGUGAUUUGGGUGUUGUCCGCCUGUUGCUUAAAUGUAUAGUGUUCUCUGGUAAUUGUGUUCGGAUUUUCAACUUGUUUUGACCUGUUUACUCUUUUGGUCACACAUUAUUUCUAUUUCCUCAGGCAGUCUGUGUGUCAAUUUGACCUUCGUUGAUUGCCGUCGUUGAUUUGUCUUUUAAGGACACGUGACAAAGACAUUGGGAAGUUGCACUUAUGUUUCGCACUUCUAAGUUACUUUCACUCGGUUGUUUUGUUACCGCGUCAGUAAUCGAGCAGUUGAUGACGUCCAAAUUUUGUUCGAACAGUCCACCAUGGCUUUAUGUGUCAAGCUAGGUGUAGCCGUGCUUGUGGCUUCAGCAUUUUACACAUUCUCCGAUUUGGGUCUCAUUCUCGACAGCAAACUGGUUCAAAUUGGCGAGUCCAGCCCCCGGGAUGUACUCGAACCACCACGAGUCAGUGACGUGCGAGUCCAGGCCUCCCGGUGCCUCAUGUCCCCGGAAAGACGCUUCGACUGUGCCCGGGACCGAGCGCUCACGAGGCGACAGUGUGAAGAGCGGGGUUGCUGUUACUUUCCUCUCAACGCCUCGUCAAAAGCUCCGUUGUGCUUCUACCCUCAUUCGUACCCGGGCUACAAAAUGGGCGACCUGACGCCCACUGCACGAGGCCAAGCUGCCACUUUGACCCGCGCCUCGCCGUCUUACCUGCCCCAAGAUGUGGCCACUCUUCACCUGGAAGAAAGCCAAGAGUCCGCAGGCUGCCUGCGCCUCAUUUUGAAGGAUCGAUGGUCAGACCGGUAUGAAGUUGAACUCCCCACCAGAGUGCCUCAGGGCAAAAUUAGUCACCAAGAUGCCUUGUAUGCCAUUGAGUACCAGUCCAACCCAUUUGGAUUCAUUGUGAGACGUGUAUCAAAUGGAAGGGUCAUUAUGAAUAGCACGGUGGCUCCUCUGCUUUUUGCCGACCAGUACCUGCAGCUGUCCACCACUCUGGCCUCGUCUCUAGUGUCAGGCCUCGGGGAGCAUUACACGUCUCUCCGCCUGGACCUUAACUGGACCUCCCUGACUCUCUGGAACAGGGACAUGGCUCCUCACGCUGGUGCAAACCUCUACGGCUCGCACCCGUUCUACGUGGUCCAGGAAGGGGACGGACUGGCGCAUGGGGUCUUCCUUAUCAACAGCAAUGCCAUCGAAGUGAUCUUGCAGCCACUGCCGGCUCUCACGUGGGUGACCACGGGCGGAAUCCUUGACCUGUACGUCUUCAUGGGUCCCGACGCUCAGACCGUCAUACAACAAUACCUGCAAGUCAUUGGUUAUCCGGCGAUGCCUCCGUAUUGGUCACUGGGCUUCCACCUGUGUCGCUGGGGCUACAAUAGCACGAAUGUCACCCGGCAGGUGGCUCAGCGGAUGCACGACGCUAACUUCCCCAUGGAUGUGCAGUGGAAUGACCUGGACUACGCAAACAAAGGCAGGGUCUUCACCAAUGACCCAGUGCGAUUUGGGGACCUCAAAGAGAUGGUGGAGGAAUUUCACCAACGAGGCUUGAAGUACGUCCUCAUCCUGGAUCCUGGGAUCAGCACCACCAGUCCUCCGGGAACGUACCAUCCCUUCGAGGAUGGAAUCAAACGAGAUGUAUUCAUCAAAAAUGCCAGUGGUCAACUCCUAAUCGGCAAGGUCUGGCCCGGUGCGACGGCCUUCCCCGACUUUACCAACCUGGAGACCAGACAGUGGUGGGAGGACUGUAUUGUGGAUUUUUAUUCCAAAGUACCAGUGGAUGGAUUAUGGAUCGACAUGAACGAACCAGCCAGUUUUGUGUCGGGUUCACUGGAGGGUUGUCCUGAGACGGAGCUUGAGAAGCCACCAUACACGCCCAGGGUGGUCGGAGGCCGCUUGAGCUCUUUCACUCUCUGCAUGUCGGCUCGGCAAAACGCGUCCACUCACUACAACCUGCACAACAUGUAUGGACUGACUGAAGCGUUUGCCACUCACAGCGCUCUAGUGAAAGCACGCGGGAAGAGGCCCUUUGUCCUGUCUCGUUCUUCCUUCCCGAGCAUCGGCCGCUUCUCCGGAGUGUGGACGGGAGAUGUGAGGAGCAACUGGGAGCAACUUGCAUACUCCAUCCCUUCCGUGCUGAAGUUGAGCCUCUUCGGGGUGCCCCUGGCGGGCGCAGACGUCUGCGGCUUCGGAGGUGACACUGCGGAGGAGUUGUGCGUGCGCUGGAUGCAGCUCGGGGCCUUCUAUCCGUUUAUGAGGAACCAUAACGAUCAGCCGUACGCUCCUCAGGAGCCUUUCGUCUUCGGGCAGAAGGCCCAGGCGGCCAUGCGGAGCGCGCUGAAUCUUCGUUACUCUCUGCUACCCUUCCUCUACACGCUCUUCCAUCACGCACACACCUCUGGGGACACGGUGGCCAGGCCUCUCUUCAUGGAGUUUCCCACCGACCCUCACUGUCAGACCAUAGACCGACAGUUCCUCUGGGGGAGUUGUCUCCUUCUCAGCCCCGUGUUGGAGGAGGGCGCAACGGAGGUGGCCGCCUAUCUGCCUCCCGGGACUUGGUACAACCUGCGCACUGGUCGGCUGGCAUACAGUACGGGCGAGUACCGGCUUCUGCCUGCCCCCCUGGAUACCAUCAACAUCCACGUGAGGGAGGGCCACAUUGUCCCCCAGCAGGUCGGGGCACCGCUAUUGCCGUCAUCGUACAUGAAUAUGUUCAGUAUGGAGGAACGACGCUGUGUGUGUGCAUUUUGCUAUUGAAUGAACUAAUAAUUUGCCCCCAAAACAAUUAAUGAAUUUUAACAAUGAAUAGAGAUUUCUGGUAAGAAAAUGAUAAAGGUCUGAAGAAGAUGAGUAGAAAAAUGGGACUGGUGGAAAUAUGCAGCUCUAUUUUCGAUGAUUUUUUAUCUGCGCUUGAUUGUUGUGGUAUGCUCAACUGGUUUGUCCGGUUGCCUCCAGCUAAUGUCUACAAUGACAUCCGCAUUGAAACGCUGAAGGAAUUCUCAAAGGAAUGUUUCCAUUCGCUCAAGGAUGAUACAGUGGAGCCAGCUUUAACGACAACGGUCUCACGCAGGAAGCCUUUCUUCCUAACGGUGGCGCUGUCAGCAAAAGGCUCAGCCCAGGGCGACUUGUUCUGGGAUGACGGCGACGACAUCGAUAGCUUUGAAAAAGGAAAUUACUCUUACGUGGUCUUCAGCGCCAGACAGGUCGCUCGAACUUCCCGACCGAAACGGUGACUUUCUGUCAGCGUACAGGUGACAUCUUUCUGACCUUUACCACGGUUUCAGUCGCAGGUUGUGAGUGAGCCCAUCCGGCUAAACGGUGCCCUGGAUGGUCUGGCGCUGGGAGGACUGCGGGUGUUUGGCGUGCCCUCGCCACCCCGAUACGUGGUGGCCAACGGCAUCAGAGUGAGGGAUUUUACGUAUGACCCUGACACAAAGCUUUUAAAAGUCGGCAGUUUGACCUUGCCCAUGUCAAAGAUGUUUGCGGUCCAGUGGGCACUGUGACGCGCCUGUUUUUUCUGCCACCGGAGAUGAGACGUAAUUUUUCUUGCAGGUAUUUCUCCUGCCAUCUUGUUUGAUUGUCACUGCUACACUGGAUCUUAAUGAUGCCCACUCUUUUCGGGGUGGUAAAUA